GUGAGUCAUCGAAUCUUUGAACGCAACUUGCGCUCUCUGGUAUUCCGGAGAGCAUGCCUGUUUGAGUGUCAUGAAAUCUCAACCAUUAGGGUUUCUUAAUGGCUUGGAUUUGAGUGUUGGCAGUCUCUGCCUCACUUUAAAGGAGUUAGCGAGUUUAACAAUGUCGUCUGGCGUAAUAAGUUUCGCUGGUAAGACUUGUGAAGUUUGCUUCUAAUCGUCUUCGGACAAUUACUUUGACUCUGGCCUCAAAUCAGGUAGGACUACCCGCUGAACUUAAGCAUAUCAAUAAGCGGAGGA
rnacentral:misc_RNA from 1 species